UCUGGGAAGGAAGAUUGUUCGGUUUAUUAGGGGGGAAUUAUUGCGGAGAUAUUUUGGGAAUUUUUGCGAGUCGGAUAGACCGGGGGAUGGAAUUAUUGAUGUUUAUGUCGUUUAGUCUGCGGUUUUUUUGGUGAUAUGGAGAAGAUUGGCAUCGUACGAAUUAUGAUUUGAUGCGUUAAGUAUUUGUGAAUGGGAUUUUUUAUGAUUUAGUAUUUAUGAAGAGACUUGGAGGUGUUGAAUCACUUGAAGAACUUUUUCGAUUGAAGUAAUGGAAUUGAUGGAGUCCAUUCGCGAAUAUGUUAAUCAGCAGAAGUUGACAAGUAUUGAGAGUAAGUCUUGACAACCGACAACGACAACAGGGAAUUAUAAUUUAUUACAAAAUAUAAAGUAUACGGUAUUAAAGGCAAAACAAAAAAAAACGUGGUGAUUAACUAUCGAUUCGAGCCAGUUAUGUCUAUUGAUCAUUUCUCAUUGAAUAACUCCAAAACCAGUCGAGAUAGCAAAGUUUUUUGUAUGACCUUUUUUGGAGACAGAAGUGAUAGCAACAAAAAAGGUAAUCACCUAAAUUUCGCCAUCUCCCUUAGAUUCGGAAAUAUGGCCAGUUCAAUUAGUUCGUAACCUCAUUGACUUGCAUUGUUUUGUCGCGUUGUCGUUGAACUCUGAAAAAUAGCAGAUUUUGCGGGAUUUUCAUUUUUAUUAUCGCGAAUAAACAUUGCGCGAAGGUCGACUAGGGCAGAGAUCAAGAGAUCGGCAGGUUAAAAUUCACCGCGAUGUAGAGUGCAAUGGAAAGAAGGAAGAACGAAAAGGGACUCACAUAAUUCAGAGGCAGGCGGCCGCGGUUGACAGUUUUAUGAGAGUUUGAUAGCCUCUUGGGCGCAACUACGUGCGAUCCCACAAGAUCGCGAAUGACUGAGGGAGAUGGUGAAUGCGCACAACGCGUAGCACUCUUCAUUGUCCCAUAAAUUCAAACCUGUUGCCCCGAGUCGAGUGAGGGAUUUUUCGGCGGGAUAGAAUGAGACAGAAUUUCCGAAUUGUUUGGGAAGCCGCUGUGAUUAUGGUUAUCAUUGUAUAUCUGGUUGUUUUGGUGAUACAGAAGGAGGAGAGGCAUCAGCUGGAGUGCAAAGAGGCGGAGGCGAUGGAUAAGGGGGAGGCGGUCGAGGGGGCGGGGCUCGAUAAUCGCCGAGAUAUCUCCCGAUAUUUUCGACACUCAACGUCAAAUUCUUUGAAAAUUUUGGAAACUUUUCGGUCGAGAGUUUUGAAUUCAGGACAAAAUUCUGCCGACAUCAAAGAAACUUCUCAUAAUUUUUUGUCAUAAUUUUUUUGGGAAAAAAGGAUGGAGUGAGAGGGUAGUUGCUGCAGUUGCUCACCAGAUGUGGUGAGCGCGGCGGUUCCCGUUGAAUUGAAGCGCGCGACCGCCCCCCAGGUUCCCCCACCAACGACGAUGAUCCAUUCUACCCCCUCCACUGGUGCAGGAGCCCCCCCGAGGCCGGCACAGGGUAAAACUGGCUAUCUCUUCCAGCUAAACAUGUUGAGCAUGUAACUUGGAGUUUUGCACUGGUUUUCAUAGUCUCUCCUUUUCUCGCGGGAGCAUGAGGCGCGGGAGCAAACGAGUACUUUAUCCAUGAUUAUCGGGGAUUCUUGAUCAAAUAUGUUUUUGGAGCGGCUACGAGGUGCAUAAACCAUUUUCGGAGGCUAACAGAUACACGUGUCCGGUCGGCUUGGCUUUAGCGACAAGUGAUUCAUGGAGGUAUCGAUACGUUUUUUACACCUCACGACGGCUUUAUUAGAAAUUCUAAUGGGGCAAACGGGGCCUACACCGCGCCGCCGGGUAACUCUGCACUGAGAAGUAUCCCGAUGUGUAUAGGAUACGCGGAGAGUGACACGAGAGGAGAAACCGAGACGGUCCACAGAGCGACGGAUGGAAUGGGCUAAUCAUGCCGACUUCUUGCCAGCCCUUUUCUCUUAUUCUCUGCAUAUAUGCCUGUAUUUCUAGACUUACUCGAACCAUUGUGCCUCACUCUGACAUGAUGACUCCAUUCAGGGAAACGUACUCACCAACCUGAAGAGGGGGAGGGGGCUGGUUUUGAAUCUGAUUUCAGAAUUUGUUGGAAUUGAUUGGGAAUUUUUGGAUGAAAAAAAAUUAUCUGGGUGUUGCGGCGUAAAGUUCUUGAGGAAGGGGGCUUGGCCCCUUGCGAGUUUCACCUGUCAAUGUGGACUGACUCAGCCCCCCCUGAUAAGCGUUUUUUUUUUCCGUGGAGAGGGGGUGUUGGUGAGGAGGAUAUUAAUCAGCGAAUUUGUUGAUGAGAUAGACCUUAUGCAGACUGAUACGAAGAAAAUAUUUUAAUUUUUUAUUGUUAUUAUUAUCGAAGGGGGUGACAGUCGUCUGAUAGUGGGGAGACUCCUAGUAGAGGAUUGAUGUAAUGUGGUGUGGAGUAAAUUAUUAAUAAAAAAAAUGUUCCUCAUGAUGUAGUUGUGGAAGCUGGAAUUGUUUAUAAAAUUGGAGGUUAUAAAACUGAAUUUUUUCCCCGGAUAUUCGACCACUUGUAACCCAAAAAUAUCGCAAUACCAUUGGACUGUAAACCAUCCCCCUUUACAACCCUUUUCUUCUAAAGAAAAAGAAUUCAUAA